rnacentral:tRNA from 1 species
UCCUUGUUAGUAUAGUGGUGAGUGUUUCUGCCUGUCAUGUGGAGACUGGAGUUUGAGUCCCCAACAGGGAG